CCUACGGGUGGCUGCAGUGAGGAAUAUUGGUCAAUGGGCGUAAGCCUGAACCAGCCAAGUCGCGUGAGGGAUGAAGGCUCUACGGAUCGUAAACUUCUUUUAUAAGGGAAUAAAGUGCGGGACGUGUCCCGUUUUGUAUGUACUUUAUGAAUAAGGAUCGGCUAACUCCGUGCCAGCAGCCGCGGUAAUACGGAGGAUCCGAGCGUUAUCCGGAUUUAUUGGGUUUAAAGGGAGCGUAGGUGGCCUUUUAAGUCAGUGGUGAAAGUUUGUGGCUCAACCGUAGAAUUGCAGUUGAAACUGGGAGGCUUGAGUAUAGUUGAGGCAGGCGGAAUUCGUGGUGUAGCGGUGAAAUGCUUAGAUAUCACGAAGAACCCCGAUUGCGAAGGCAGCCUGCCAAGCCGUGACUGACGCUGAUGCACGAAAGCGUGGGGAUCAAACAGGAUUAGAUACCCGAGUAGUC
rnacentral:rRNA from 1 species